rnacentral:rRNA from 1 species
UACGGAGGGUGCGAGCGUUGUCCGGAAUCACUGGGCGUAAAGGGCGCGUAGGUGGCCUGUGGAAGUCUGCGGUGAAAGCCCGGCGCUCAACGCCGGGUCGGCCGUGGAUACUCUCGGGCUUGAGCUUACUAGAGGCAGAUGGAAUUCCGGGUGUAGCGGUGGAAUGCGUAGAGAUCCGGAAGAACACCGGUGGCGAAGGCGGUCUGCUGGGGUAAUGCUGACACUGAUGCGCGACAGCGUGGGAGCAAACAGG